CUGAUAUUUGAGUGACCGUACCGCAAACCGACACUGGUAGGUGGGUAGAGUAUACCAAGGGGAGCGAGAGAACCUUCGUUAAGGAAUUAGGCAAAUUUCCCCCGUACGUUCGCAAUAAGGGGGGCCUUUGGCGGUGAGCUUAAUCGCAAAGCUGCUGGAGGCCGCAGAGAAAUGGCUCUUCCAACUGUCUAACAAAAACACAGGUCUCUGCUAAGUCGAAAGACGAAGUAUAGGGGCUGACGCCUGCCCAGUGCUGGAAGGUUAAGGGGAGAGGUUAGGCGCAAGCCGAAGCUUUGAGCCGAAGCCCCAGUGAACGGCGGCCGUAACUAUAACGGUCCUAAGGUAGCGAAAUUCCUUGUCGGGUAAGUUCCGACCCGCACGAAUGGCGUAAUGAGAGGAGCACUGUCUCAACGAGGGACUCGGCGAACAUUGAAGGACGUGUGAAGAUACACGUGACCCGCAGCGGGACAAAAAGACCCCGUGAAGCUUUACUACAACUUGCCAUUGAGUUAGGGCUAAACCUGUGUAGUAUAGGUGGGAGGCUUUGAAGCUGGGACGCCAGUCUCGGUGGAGCCACCGUUGAAAUACCACCCUGGUUUAUUCUUGGCUCUAACCUGUCGCCGUUAUCCGGCAUGGGAACAGUGGCUGGUGGGUAGUUUGACUGGGGCGGUCGCCUCCGAAAGCGUAACAGAGGCGCCCAAAGGUUCCCUCAGGCUGAAUGGAAACCAGCCGUUGAGUGUAAAGGCACAAGGGAGCUUGACUGCAAGACCAACAAGUCGCGCAGGGACGAAAGUCGGGCUUAGUGAUCCCACGGUUCAGAGUGGAAUGGCCGUGGCUUACCGGAUAAAAGCUACUCCGGGGAUAACAGGGUAGUCUGGUCCAAGAGUUCAUAUCGACGACCAGGUUCGCCACCUCGAUGUCGGCUCAUCACAUCCUGGGGCUGGAUAAGGUCCCAAGGGUUGGGCUGUUCGCCCAUUAAAGUGGUACGUGAGCUGGGUUCAGACCGUCGUGAGACAGGUCGGUCUCUAUCCGCUGUGGGCGUAAGGGGUUUGGGAGAAGCCCCCUAGUACGAGAGGACCGGGGUGGACGGACCUCUAGUGUGCCAGUUGUUCUGCCAAGAGCAUUGCUGGGUAGCUACGUCCGGCAGAGAUAACCGCUGAAAGCAUCUAAGUGGGAAACUCGUCUCAAGAUUAGAUCCCUCAUCCGUAUGGAGUAAGACCGCUAGAAGACGACUAGUUUGAUAGGCGGCAGGUGUAAGCGCAGUAAUGUGUUCAGCUUAGCCGUACUAAUGGUCGAGGGCUUACGUUU
rnacentral:rRNA from 1 species